AUUAUACAAUUAAACCAGUAGCA
rnacentral:snRNA from 1 species